rnacentral:pre_miRNA from 17 species
GUCCGCUGGAUUUUUGACCAGUCCACUGGCUGAGGUAGUAGUUUGUGUUGUUGGAAGGGUCUGUGACACUGCCCAGUAUGGAGAUAACUGCGCAAGCUACUGCCUUGCCAGUGCUGGUGAGCACUCGGCGGAGAGACC